rnacentral:lncRNA from 7 species
UAUUUCCUUUUCCAGCUACUCUGCCUAAAGCCCCAUCACUCUGACAGCAAGAAGUGGUGCUUUAUUGCCUCCAGAUUAGAAGAUCUGAAAGAGGAGAGGAUGGAGAUGCUGCAUCUGGCAUCAGUUCUUCAGCUCUUGCAUUCACCCAUCUGUGGUCUGGGCAGCCUGAGGAAAAUUUUUCUCCUUAAAGACCUAACAAAUGGUUGUAUGGCUCCCUGCAGAGUUCACAGCUGGGUGCGAGUUUAGCCAGCAAAUGCAAAUCUUUGGCUCAACAUGCUCCUGCUGCAAAUUCUGGCCUUGACUUCUCCAGAGAUGUGAAAAGGAAACAGCACCAUGACGUGCAGAAGAUUGAGCAUGCCAUGAAAAUGUAGAUUUUCGUCCUCAGACCAAAGUAAAGGUUAUUUAACAGCUGUGUUAAAGCAGAACCUAUUCAGAACUUUCCAUGCUGUGAAAGAUAAAUUCAGAGUUUCACUCCAAAUGUGUUCCCAAGUGCAAUGUGGCUGUGUGGAUGGACAGAAGUACUGAAGGGGUUGGACUCCAACCAUUUAUGCUGUGGAACCUCUUCCUGCUUGGUGUGGUAGCCUGAAGAUGUGUGCUUGGGCUCAGAAAUUGCUUCAGUAAUUUGAAGGAAGAAAAGGUAAUUGUGGACUAUUAAACAUACUCUGGUUUGAAACCAGGAGUCAAAAAUCAUGAGUGUUGAGAGUGGCUGGAGACAGGGAAGGAAAAUGUAUGUGUCCUGAUCUUGUAAUCUCUAUUCAUCUGCAGGCUAUGGGGCUAUCUCUAAUUUUUGAUGCUUUCCUUGCCAUAGAUAGACGUUGCAGGGCAUGGGGUGCACCAAAUUGCAAGCCCUCUCUACCCUGGUCAGCUCAUUUUGAAAGCAUUGUGUCUUAUUUAUGUGUGUUCUAGGACUGAUCUGAUAAAUUUGUUGGGGUUGGAUAUAAGGGAUAUAUAUGCCAUGAGAGGCUAUAUAGGCAUGCUUUUCUGAGCAGCUAGAAACUAAUCUCUGUGCUGCUUCCUACCUGUGUUGUGUCCUGUUGGCUAUCCAUGCUGCCAGUUUGACUUGGGCGGUAUCUCCACCAUGGUGGUAUCUCAGAAGUUUGACCCCUGCUCUGAGGGUCUGAUGAGCCCCUAAGAAAUACCCACUUAGGAAGAUAGGAAUUCAAGCGCUUCUGAAAAUGGGUAGAAGAAAUUUGGCAGAAGACAAGG